GACGAACGCUGGCGGCGUGCUUAACACAUGCAAGUCGAACGGUAAGGCCCUUCGGGGUACACGAGUGGCGAACGGGUGAGUAACACGUGGGUGAUCUGCCCUGCACUUCGGGAUAAGCCUGGGAAACUGGGUCUAAUACCGGAUAGGACUCCUGCCUGCAUGGGUGGGGGUGGAAAGCUUUUGCGGUGUGGGAUGGGCCCGCGGCCUAUCAGCUUGUUGGUGGGGUGAUGGCCUACCAAGGCGACGACGGGUAGCCGGCCUGAGAGGGUGACCGGCCACAGGGGGACUGAGAGACGGCCCAGACUCCUACGGGAGGCGGCAGUGGGGAAUAUUGCACAAUGGGCGCAAGCCUGAUGCAGCGACGCCGCGUGAGGGAUGACGGCCUUCGGGUUGUAAACCUCUUUCAGCACAGACGAAGCGCAAGUGACGGUAUGUGCAGAAGAAGGACCGGCCAACUACGUGCCAGCCGCCGCGGUAA
rnacentral:rRNA from 1 species